rnacentral:lncRNA from 1 species
AGGGAACACGGUGUUUGGUUUUAUAAAUUCCAUUUUGGUGGAAUAGGAAGGAAUUUCUGGCUUAUCUUGAUCAUCAUGAGGACGGAGAAACUCAAACUAUGUGUUUCCUGUGCUUUCACACUACAACAAUCAACACAGAAGACUGACGGCGGAGGGGGGUUCUCCAUACAGCAAGCAAGCAAUCAGUUCUGCAGUGGACACCAGCUGAGUGUACUCCAAUUCAAUUUUUACACUAUUUAUCAGGAGAUCCCACAGGUUGAGGACUGAGUCUACCAGACUGCCCCCACUUCAAAUGCCAGUUCCAAGUCUGGGCCUCCAGAACUUCUGACCAACCAUUUCCAAGCUGGGGUUCCCAUGGCUUCCUCCUUUGCAUUGUAUUAAUUUGCUAGAGCAGUUCAUGAAACUCAGAGAAACACUUGGGUUUACUGGUUUAUAACAAAAAAUACAGAUGAAAAGAUGCAUAAGGUAAAGUAUGGGGGAAGGAGCAUGGAGCUUCCAUGCACCUCCACUGGG